rnacentral:lncRNA from 10 species
CUUUACCCUGCGUGCCGGGCUCCACGAUAUGAGCAGAUAGUAGCUCUGGAGUCCUCAGGUAUCCAGCAUGUGUUGGGAAAUGUGGAUUUCCCUGGGUCAAUGCUCCCACCAUGGCCACUUGAAGGCUACCAGUAUGAUUUUCCUGAAAACAGAUUUAAGAAGAGAUGUCACCAUCAGCUUCCUCAAACCAUGCGAUCAAUCCUGAAAAUGAGUGUCCUGUGUUGACUUUGUCCUGCCAAAUAGCAUGCCCACCCAGAACCUCAGAAUGUGGGUUUAUUUAGAAAUAGAAUCUUUGCAGAUGUAAUUUAGUUAAGAUGAAGUCAUCCUGGAUUAAGGUGGUCUCUGAUCCAAUGACUGGCAUCCUUUUACAAAGAAUAAAAUUUGGACACAGAGCAUCUCAGAAGGAAGAUGACGUAAAGGAAGGUAGGUGAGAAGGUCAAGUGAGGACGGAAGCAGAGUACGGAGUGAUGCAUCCAUAAGCCAAGGAACCCCAAGGAUUGCUGCAGCCACCAGAAGCCAGAAGAGAGGCCAAGAAGUAUCCUUUCCUGGAGCUUUUGGGGAGCUUGGUCCUGUUGAUACCUUGAUUUAAGAUAUAUGACCCCCAGGGCCAGGUGUGGUGGCUUACGCCUGUAAUCCCAGCACUUAGGGAGGCCAAGGGGGGGCAGAU